rnacentral:rRNA from 1 species
CGCGUAGGCGGUUAAAUAAGUUGGAUGUGAAAUCCCUGGGCUUAACCUAGGAACUGCAUACAAUACUGUUUGACUAGAGUGCAGUAGAGGGUAGUGGAAUUUCCGGUGUAGCGGUGAAAUGCGUAGAUAUCGGAAGGAACACCAGUGGCGAAGGCGGCUACCUGGACUGACACUGACGCUGAGGCGCGAGAGCGUGGGAGCAAACA